CAAGACAAUGAAUCUUGGGAUAGACAUAGAGUGUCAGUUGCUCAACUCCUUACUUUAUAGGUUAUAACUAUUCACAUCUUAAAAUAUUUAUACAUCACUUAAUAUAUCUAAGAACAGAGAAGAAGUACACCUCCCAUAUUUGGGAGUGUACUUAUCAAGGUAUAUCAAAAAAUACUAAAUUUUUAAAUCUAAUAGACAUCACAGCCAUUCAAAAUUAAAUAUCGUGCAGCCAACAACAAUAGAAUCUAUGGUUAUAUCUUAUUUACAAGGUUGAGUUGUGUUGAGCUGACAAUGAGCACGUUAGGCAUAGCUUGUGUUUGGCUUGUGCAUUUUUCGGGCUUGAAAACCUUGCCCGUGUUUGGCUUGUUUACUAUUCAAGCUAGCUGAAUUUUGAGCUGAACAUAUGCUGCCUGCAAACAGCUCUUUUGUUUGAUAGUCCUAGUAAUCAUAAUGCCAGGACAAGGAAGCAUGGAAGCAUCCAUCUAGUGGCGCUUACAAUCUAAUUUGUUUCAUCAAGUUGAUACUUGUUUAAAGAGUGUAGCCCUUCAAGGAUAUUAGUAGAAAAUUGGAAUUGUUGCUUAUGCUUUCCGAUUAACUGUAAUAGUGAGUAUGAUGGAUGACCAAUACAAUCGGGCAAGUUGCACUUAAAUAAGUAAACAGCUGUGAGAAGAAGAGAGUAAUUUAUCCUUGUACUAAGAUUAAAGGAAUUGGCAUUUGUGACAUUUCAAGGAAGAACAUAUGGGAGCAUGUUGUAUAAUAGUAACAUCCAGGGCAUCCAAUGAUGGCAACCACUAAUCGCACCCUUUUUUUUUUGGUACCACAUUCCAGCUGCAAGCCUUUCGAGCAAUAUGUGUUUGCUAUGUGUAUCAAAAUAUGGUCAAUCAAAGUAAAAGGGUAUGUUACAAGUAACUUUUAAGCUUUUGUUUUCAUAUAUCGGUGCCAAAGUCCUGGAAAAUGCAAUUUUAGGCAAGAAAUGUCCUGUCUUGGAUGGCAGAUGAUUGAUCAGCAAGAAGGGAAUCUAUGCUUAUUGAUUAUAUGCUAUGCAACCAGGACCAAACUGCAUAAUUUGACAAGGGGAGAAGAAAGCAAGUUUAUGACAAGAAGCUGCUUUUGUCAUUGAGGUCAGAAAGUUGCCAAAAUUAUUGGCCAAGAUUUUGGUGAACAAAAUCCCACUGUUGCUUCCUACUUUGUCGAUGUUAUUGCAUCCACUAUAUUGGAAAUGUAUGAGUAAACUUGCUGGUACAGGUAUAUUUUUUAUUCUUUUAAAUUGAAGAGGAAUUAAUGUUGCAUAUUGGGAAUGUUAUAAUUAAGCUAUGCACAGAAAUGUAAUGCAUGUUUCUUGAUGUUAUCUUGGAUAGAUUCAAACUGUAGGCUUGAUGGUCCUAUUGUCAAAGGAUGGAUGCUGGACUAGAAAAAUAACUUCACUGGAGUCAACUAAAAGCCUAUUGUCAAGAGCUUGAUCUAAUAGUUUGAUCUUUAGUCAAUACUAUAUAAUUUCUAUGUUAGUACUAAAUAUGUAGACAAACAAAAUUUUGUUACCAAGAGGCUGAUAAAAUGUAGUAUUUAAAAGAAGAAUGAUACAACAAAAGAGGUGGAUUUUGGAUUGUUAGAACUUGGGAUACCUUUAACCUCUUGCCCUUAUCAAAAAGUUUUGAUUUCCCACAAGUAUCCUCCCAAAAGAGCUCCUGAUAUUAAAAAGGGUGUCUGAGUAGUGUAGGUUCUUUUCUAGUUAUUUGCUUACAGUGGCGCUGUUAUCUAAUAUUAGCUAUGGUUUGUCAUUGUUUUCAAAUACUUUAUUGAAGGAAAAAAUUA
rnacentral:lncRNA from 1 species